GAUGAACGCUAGCGGCAGGCUUAAUACAUGCAAGUCGAGGGGCAGCACGGGUAGCAAUACCUGGUGGCGACCGGCAAACGGGUGCGGAACACGUACGCAACCUUCCCAAACUGGUGAUAGCCCUCCGAAAGGAGGAUUAAUACGCCGUACCAUAAUGAAGAGGCAUCUCUUUAUUAUUAUAGGCUUCGGUCGGUUUUGGUAUGGGCGUGCGCCUGAUUAGGUAGUUGGCGGGGUAACGGCCCGACCAACGACCUCGCGAUCAGUAACUAGGUGUGAGAGCACGACCACGUCACACGGGCGACUGAGACACGGGCCCGA
rnacentral:rRNA from 1 species